ACCAAACCUAGCCCUAAUAACACCCAAAUCCAACUAUAAAUAAUAACAAUAAAACAAAUCAUUUGACAAAAGAAAGUAUUGGAGAAAGAAAUCUACUUCAGGAGCUAUAGAGAAAGUACCGCAAGGGAAAGAUGAAAGAACAACUUAAAAGUAAAAAUAAGCAAAGAUUAAACCUUGUACCUUUUGCAUAAUGAGUUAACUAGAAAACGUCUAACUAAGAGAUCUUAAGCUAGACACCCCGAAACCAAACGAGCUACCUAAGAGCAGUAAAAGAACUAACCCGUCUAUGUAGCAAAAUAGUGGGACGACUCCUAGGUAGAGGUGAAAAGCCUACCGAGCUUGGUGAUAGCUGGUUACCCGACAAAGAAUUUCAGUUCAACUUUAAGAUUACCACAAGAAAUAAUAAUCAAAAUGUAAUCUUAAAUUUUAACCUGAAGGGGGACAGCUCUUCAGGGAUGGAAACAACCUUUUAUAGUGAAUAAAUACCUCAACCCAAAAAACCAUUGUUGGCCUAAAGGCAGCCACCAAUAAAGAAAGCGUUAAAGCUCAACACUAUAAACCUCUUAAUACCAUAAACCACAAUGACUUCCUAUAGUAAUAAUCGGGUUAAUCUAUAACUAUAUAGAUGAGAUACUGUUAACAUGAGUAACAAGAACACACUGUUCUCCAAGCACAAGCCUAUAACAACCCGGAUAACCAUUGUUAGUUAACAUUAACAGGUAAAUACACCACCAAUAAAACUAACCUCUACCAAAAAUGUUAAUCCAACACAGGCGUGCAAUAAGGAAAGAUUAAAAGAAGUAAAAGGAACUCGGCAAACAAGAAUCCCGCCUGUUUACCAAAAACAUCACCUCUAGCAUGAAAAGUAUUAGAGGCACUGCCUGCCCAGUGACAAACGUUUAACGGCCGCGGUAUCCUGACCGUGCAAAGGUAGCAUAAUCACUUGUUCCUUAAUUGGGGACUGGAAUGAAUGGCCUCACGAGGAUUCAACUGUCUCUUACCUCUAAUCAGUGAAAUUGACCCCCCCGUGAAGAGGCGGGGAUAUCAUAAUAAGACGAGAAGACCCUAUGGAGCUUUAAUUUACUAGCUUAACCACAUGACCAACAACCCUAAGGGGAUAAACAAAGAGAGAUAAGCUAAUAAUUUUGGUUGGGGUGACCUCGGAAAACAAAACAACCUCCGAACGAUUUUAACUAAGACCUACAAGUCAAAGUACCAGAAUCCAAUUGACCCAAUUCAUUUGAUCAACGGACCAAGUUACCCUAGGGAUAACAGCGCAAUCCUAUUCAAGAGUUCAUAUCGACAAUUAGGGUUUACGACCUCGAUGUUGGAUCAGGACAUCCCAAUGGUGCAGCAGCUAUUAAAGGUUCGUUUGUUCAACGAUUAAAGUCCUACGUGAUCUGAGUUCAGACCGGAGUAAUCCAGGUCGGUUUCUAUCUAUUUACUAUUUCUCCCAGUACGAAAGGACAAGAGAAAUGAGGCCUCCUUAACAUAAGCGCCUUAAAACUAAUAUAUGAAAUUAUCUUAAUUUAGUAAGUUUGUUCAACUAUACCCUAGACAAGGGUUUU
rnacentral:rRNA from 1 species